rnacentral:lncRNA from 1 species
AAAAAAUUAUACAAGGAGGGGGACAUAUACCUUACCUCCAACCUAAGGUGGGACAAGAGUCAACCUACCUACUAAGGUUAGUCAACUCCACCCUAUACAAUAAGAUGUAAUAUUAAAACUAAGCACCUAGAGAGGAUCCUUUCUUAAUACAAAGUUACUAAUAAAACAUAAAUAAGGGAGACUCUCCCCUUACAAGAAUUAAUGAAACUAAGACUAAACAAACUACUAUACCUAGAAAGGCCAUAGUAAAUCGAAUAGGUUAUAACAUGUCAAAAUGUAAUGUUGUUGUCCUUGAAAUGUUGGACAUUAUAUAGAGAGUCUUGAAACUGAAGGCCUUCUCUGUAAGGAUUUUGAAGUAUGUUCAAGGUGGUUGUUUAAUCCUUUUAAUCUUCUUGCGUCUGAAGUUUUGAACUCCCAAUUUCUCUAAUAGAUAGCUUCCUUUAACUGGUAGAGGUAAUUGAUGAUGAGUGUAGUAAUUUUGUACAAUGUCUUGUUGAUGACUAUGUUUGGCCAGUAGAUCAGCAGUACCAUUCGCCUCCCUGUAAGUGUGCACACACUGAAAAUACACACAUUGGUUAGCAAGAAUUUGUAAUUCCUGUAUAUACCUGUGUAUCUUCCAAGGGGGAAUAGCAGCCUGCAAGAACCACUUGGUUAAUAAUUCAGAAUCAACCUCUAAUAUAAUAUUAGUGUAACCAUGUUGGAUACACCAAUUUAAA